UGUAGAGCAAUUGCAGAAACGGAUACCCAACAAAAUUCACAUUCCCAGAAACAAUGCUAGUCUAUGUUGUAGAUAAUGAUUUUCCCUUCUUCUACUACCUCAUAAUCUUCAUUUUUGUUCUAAUUCUCUUCCGUUUCGCCAUCAUCUUUUUCUUCCUCGUACUACUUUUUGCCCUGUGCGCCGACCUCGUUUACCUCUAACUUCUCUCCUAUGUCCCCACUAACGUCGUCAUAAGGACAAUACAACUUCCACUGUUCUCCCGUGUUAUAAAGCUAAUUUUGCAUAUAUCGUUUAUGGGUGUGUUUUUUGGUCUGAUGAAGAGAAGGGUGCAGGGGAUGUUUGAACAUGAACUGGGACAGUGGACCAUGCCAGAUGCCACUGAGCCUGGUUUGGUUUUGUUAAUGAUCGGUCAAGGCUUUUUGCAUCACCAUUGGUACCGGGUCUUUGCUUGAACACAUGCCAACUAUUUGAUCAGAGAGCCUGAUUAGUAAUACUAGUGUUGUUGUUUUGUGAUUUUCCUUUGUUUAUUGCAUGUUAUGGAUAAAUUCACAAGAUUUAUAAUUACUUCUUAGGCUUCAUAUGUAAUUGAUUAAUAUUAUUGCUAUAAAUUACCUAUGCGUUGUUAGUA
rnacentral:lncRNA from 1 species